rnacentral:pre_miRNA from 9 species
UUUCGAUAGCGUAAAAGUUAACUAAAAUUUGUAUGUAGUUGGAACAUUUGCCUACGUUUGCCGUUAGGGGCGCUGUUCCAACUGCAUACAAAUCCAAGUUAACUUUUGCAUUAUCGA